AAAGAGCAGCCAAAGAAACAGAUCUGUUGAAGCAUCAAUUGGAAAGGAUGGGAGGGUUGGAGGAGGAGCACAGCUGGAUGACUACAUUAGAUUGUGGCAUAUGAGGUCACUUUAUCUGUUGAAGCAUCAAUAGGAAAGGAUGAAAGGGAGGGAGGCAGGAAGAGGAAAACACAGAAGAGCAGAUGAGGAGCACUCUAUGUUCUGCUUCCAUGUGGAUUGACAGCAUUGCUUUCAUGAGCUCCUGGAGGACACCAUGGAGGAAGAGGGAGAGGGUCUAUGAUAGGCAGUUUGCCAUGGCCCUAAAUGGGCUUUUGGAUGUUAAUUCUUCCUGCUUUAUAUCAUGCAACUUUACAAUAAAAAUGAAUCGCAAGCA